rfam:Schistosoma curassoni strain Dakar, Senegal genome assembly, scaffold: SCTD_scaffold0012065
AUUGACUGACGAGUCCCAAAUAGGACAAAACACGCGUCCUGGAU